rnacentral:rRNA from 2 species
AUAGGGGAGCCGAAGGGAAACCGAGUCUUAACUGGGCGUUAAGUUGCAGGGUAUAGACCCGAAACCCGGUGAUCUAGCCAUGGGCAGGUUGAAGGUUGGGUAACACUAACUGGAGGACCGAACCGACUAAUGUUGAAAAAUUAGCGGAUGACUUGUGGCUGGGGGUGAAAGGCCAAUCAAACCGGGAGAUAGCUGGUUCUCCCCGAAAGCUAUUUAGGUAGCGCCUCGUGAACUCAUCUUCGGGGGUAGAGCACUGUUUCGGCUAGGGGGUCAUCCCGACUUACCAACCCGAUGCAAACUGCGAAUACCGAAGAAUGUUAUCACGGGAGACACACGGCGGGUGCUAACGUCCGUCGUGAAGAGGGAAACAACCCAGACCGCCAGCUAAGGUCCCAAAGUCACAGUUAAGUGGGAAACGAUGUGGGAAGGCUCAGACAGCCAGGAUGUUGGCUUAGAAGCAGCCAUCAUUUAAAGAAAGCGUAAUAGCUCACUGGUCGAGUCGGCCUGCGCGGAAGAUGUAACGGGGCUAAACUGUGCACCGAAGCUGCGGCAGCGACGCUUAUGCGUUGUUGGGUAGGGGAGCGUUCUGUAAGCCUGCGAAGGUGUCCUGUGAGGGAUGCUGGAGGUAUCAGAAGUGCGAAUGCUGACAUAAGUAACGAUAAUGCGGGUGAAAAGCCCGCUCGCCGGAAGACCAAGGGUUCCUGUCCAACGUUAAUCGGGGCAGGGUGAGUCGACCCCUAAGGCGAGGCCGAAAGGCGUAGUCGAUGGGAAACGGGUUAAUAUUCCCGUACUUGGUGUUACUGCGAAGGGGGGACGGAGAAGGCUAUGUUGGCCGGGCGACGGUUGUCCCGGUUUAAGCGUGUAGGCUGGUUUUCCAGGCAAAUCCGGAAAAUCAAGGCUGAGGCGUGAUGACGAGGCACUACGGUGCUGAAGCAACAAAUGCCCUGCUUCCAGGAAAAGCCUCUAAGCAUCAGGUAACAUCAAAUCGUACCCCAAACCGACACAGGUGGUCAGGUAGAGAAUACCAAGGCGCUUGAGAGAACUCGGGUGAAGGAACUAGGCAAAAUGGUGCCGUAACUUCGGGAGAAGGCACGCUGACACGUAGGUGAAGUGAUUUACUCA